UUUUUAUAAAAAAAUUUACAAAGUCAUUAGGCAUUUUUAAACUAAAAUUGCAUUAAAUUAUAAUUGUAGCCUAUUUCUCAAUUUAAUAAAUAUUUUAAGUACAAAAUCGUUCCUAAUAUUUUUAAUUAAUUCCUAAACGUAUUUUAUUAUCUUAGUCUUUUAUUGGAUUUUUAUAAAAUUCUUUACUAUUUUUUACAAAAUUAAUUACGG
rnacentral:lncRNA from 1 species